CCCUUGUCGGUAAAACUCGUGCCAGCCACCGCGGUUAUACGAGAGGCUCAAGUUGACAGACAACGGCGUAGAGCGUGGUUAGAGGAAAUACUUAACUAAAGCGGAACCCCCUCAUAGCUGUUAUACGCUUACGAGAGGAUGAACCACAACUACGAAAGUGGCUUUACUUCACUUGAACCCACGAAAGCUAAGAAACAAACUGGGAUUAGAUACCCCACUAUGAAG
rnacentral:rRNA from 1 species